CACAAAGCGUUUUGAAAAACAAGUCGCAGGGACUUGUCCCAAAAAUCCAAACUAGUUUGAAUUCGUGAGACUAGUCGCAAGGACCAAAUGUUAGUCCCUGCGACUAGAUUUUGUGGCAAAAAUGACCAGUUCACACGAUGGGACUUGCCCCCGCGACUAGUCCCCUCGUGCGUGCCGACCUUAAGUUGCGUUCAUGCAUGCAUAACUGCGGUGAUCGUUCCUGAAGUAUAGUGUUGGCACUGUUUGUCCAUAUUCAUUUGUGUUCUUAUUUCAGUUCAACAGAAAACGUAUUGACGAUUCUGAUGACGAUGACGACUAGUGAUAAGUGUUUCCCACUUCAAAAGAUUACAAAGCUGAAAGUUGUGCAUCAAUGAGUCAGAGUUAAUCUACUUUGUAAUU